GAUGAACGCUGGCGGCGUGCCUAAUACAUGCAAGUCGAGCGAACAGACGAGGAGCUUGCUCCUCUGACGUUAGCGGCGGACGGGUGAGUAACACGUGGAUAACCUACCUAUAAGACUGGGAUAACUUCGGGAAACCGGAGCUAAUACCGGAUAAUAUAUUGAACCGCAUGGUUCAAUAGUGAAAGACGGUUUUGCUGUCACUUAUAGAUGGAUCCGCGCCGCAUUAGCUAGUUGGUAAGGUAACGGCUUGCCAAGGCAACGAUGCGUAGCCGACCUGAGAGGGUGAUCGGCCACACUGGAACUGAGACACGGUCCAGACUCCUACGGGAGGCAGCAGUAGGGAAUCUUCCUCAAUGGGCGAAAGCCUGACGGAGCAACGCCGCGUGAGUGAUGAAGGUCUUCGGAUCGUAAAACUCUGUUAUUAGGGAAGAACAAAUGUGUAAGUAACUAUGCACGUCUUGACGGUACCUAAUCAGAAAGCCACGGCUAACUACGUG
rnacentral:rRNA from 1 species